AGACACGGUCCAGACUCCUACGGGAGGCAGCAGUGGGGAAUAUUGCACAAUGGGCGCAAGCCUGAUGCAGCCAUGCCGCGUGUAUGAAGAAGGCCUUCGGGUUGUAAAGUACUUUCAGCGGGGAGGAAGGGAGUAAAGUUAAUAACCUUGCUCGAUUGACGUUACCCGCAGAAGAAGCACCGGCUAACUCCGUGCCAGCAGCCGCGGUAAUACGGAGGGUGCAAGCGUUAAUCGGAAUUACUGGGCGUAAAGC
rnacentral:rRNA from 1 species